rnacentral:lncRNA from 1 species
ACCUAUACAACUAAACACAACAUUACCAACCUGCUACAACAUUACCAACCUGCUACAAGUAAACACAACAUUACCAACCUGCACAACUCAACACAACAUUACCAACCUGCACAACUCAACACAACAUUAUCAACCUGCUACAACAUUAUCAACCUAUACAACUAAACACAACAUUAUCAACCUGCUACAACAUUAUCAACCUAUACAACUAAACACAACAUUACCAACCUGCUACAACUCAACACAACAUUAUCAACCUAUACAACUAAACACAACAUUAUCAACCUGCUACAACAUUAUCAACCUAUACAACUAAACACAACAUUAUCAACCUGCUACAACAUUAUCAACCUAUACAACUAAACACAACAUUACCAACCUGCUACAACUCAACACAACAUUACCAACCUGCUACAACUAAAUACAACAUUAUCAACCUGCUACAACAUUAUCAACCUGUACAACUAAACACAACAUUAUCGACCUGCUACAACUAAACACAACAUUAUCGACCUGCUACAACUAAACACAACAUUACAACCUGCUACAACUAAACACAACAUUAUCGACCUGCUACAACUAAACACAACAUUAUCGACCUGCUACACAGAGAGGAACCAAGCAUAAAUGUAUUUUUCCAUUGAUUGAAAAUAGCUGUCACUGCAGGGGGAUGUUUGUAGCCAUCUUUUCAUUUUAUUUUCUCCUUCAUGUGGGAACAUCUAUAAUAUUAGACCCAUCUCUUUAUUCUCUUGAAUGACUUGUACAGACCAGGGUCUGUACCGACCCCGAGCUGGACUGAGGAGGUUUUAUACAGACCAGGGUCUGUACCGACCCCGAGCUGGACUGAGGAGGUUUUAUACAGACCAGGGUCUGUACCGACCCAGAGCUGGACUGAGGAGGUUUUAUACAGACCAGGGUCUGUACCGACCCAGAGCUGGACUGAGGAGGUUUUAUACAGACCAGGGUCUGUGAUCAACCAAGAUGGACUGAGGAGGUUUUAUACAGACCAGGAUCUGUACCGACCCAGAACUGAACUGAGGAGGUUUUAUACAGACCAGGGUCUGUACCGACCCAGAGCUGGACUGAGGAGGUUUUAUACAGACCAGGGUCUGUACCGACCCAGAGCUGGACUGAGGAGGUUUUAUACAGACCAGGGUCUGUGAUCAACCAAGAUGGACUGAGGAGGUUUUAUACAGAUCAGGGUCUGGACUGAGGAGGUUUUAUACAGACCAGGGUCUGUACCGACCCAGAACUGGACUGAGGAGGUUUUAUACAGACCAGGGUCUGUACCGACCCAGAACUGGACUGAGGAGGUUUUAUACAGACCAGGGUCUGUACCGACCCCGAGCUGCACUGAGGAGGUUUUAUACAGACCAGGGUCUGUACCGACCCCGAGCUGGACUGAGGAGGUUUUAUACAGACCAGGGUCUGUAUCGACCCCGAGCUGGACUGAGGAGGUUUUAUACAGACCAGGGUCUGUACCGAGCUGGACUGAGGAGGUUUUAUACAGACCAGGGUCUGUAUCGACCCAGAGCUGGACUGAGGGGUUUUAUACAGACCAGGGUCUGUACCGAGCUGGACUGAGGAGGUUUUAUACAGACCAGGAUCUGUACCGACCCAGAACUGGACUGAGGAGGUUUUAUACAGACCAGGGUCUGUAUCGACCCAGAGCUGGACUGAGGAGGUUUUAUACAGACCAGGGUCUGUACCGACCCAGAACUGGACUGAGGAGGUUUUAUACAGACCAGGGUCUGUACCGACCCAGAGCUGGACUGAGGAGGUUUUAUACAGACAGGGUCUGUGAUCAACCAAGAUGGACUGAGGAGGUUUUAUACAGACCAGGAUCUGUACCGAGCUGGACUGAGGAGGUUUUAUACAGACCAGGGUCUGUAUCGACCCAGAGCUGGACUGAGGGGUUUUAUACAGACCAGGGUCUGUACCGACCCAGAGCUGGACUGAGGAGGUUCUAUACCUGGUCUGUGUUCAACCAAGAUGGAAGAGGAACGACUCAAACAUCCGAAUCUUAGUGCCAAGGUUACCGUGGAAACAGAGGAGGGGAACUGAUUUGUCU